CGUGCCUAAGAAGUGCAGUCGAGCGAUGCCAUGGAGCUUGCUCCGGAAGCCUAGCGGCGAACGGUCGCGUAACACGUAAGCAACCUGCCCCAAAGUUUGGGAUAGCCCUCCGAAAGGGGGAUUACUACCGGAUGUGGAUGUUGAUAUGCAUGUAUUAACAUCUAAAGCAUUUAUGCGCUUUGGGAUGGGCUUGCGGCCUAUCAGCUAGUUGGUGAGGUAACGGCUCACCAAGGCGACGACGGGUAGCUGGUCUGAGAGGAUGGUCAGCCGGACUGGGACUGAGACACGGCCCAGACUCCUACGGGGGGCAGCAAUUAGGAAUCUUGCGCAAUGGGCGAAAGCCUGACGCAGCGACGUCGCGUGAACGAUGAAGUCUUUCGGGAUUGUAAAGUUCUUUUCUGAGGGAAGAAGGAUGUGACGGUACCUCAGGAAUAAGCCCCGGCUAACUACGUGCCAACAGCCGCGGUAAUACGUAAGGGGCCAACGUUGUCCAAAUUUACUGGGC
rnacentral:rRNA from 1 species